UACGAAGGGGGCAAGCGUUGUUCGGAAUUACUGGGCGUAAAGGGCGCGUAGGCGGCGUGACAAGUCACUUGUGAAAUCUCCGGGCUUAACUCGGAACGGUCAAGUGAUACUGUCGUGCUAGAGUACAGAAGGGGCAACUGGAAUUCUCGGUGUAGCGGUGAAAUGCGUAGAUAUCGAGAGGAACACCUGCGGCGAAGGCGGGUUGCUGGGCUGAUACUGACGCUGAGGCGCGAAAGCUAGGGGAGCGAACGGG
rnacentral:rRNA from 1 species